rnacentral:tRNA from 1 species
GCCCCCAUCGUCUAGUGGCCCAGGACCCCGCCCUUUCACGGCGGUAGCACGGGUUCGAAUCCCGUUGGGGGUGCCG